rnacentral:tRNA from 1 species
UGUGGCUUAGCAGCUUGGUCUUCGGUAGGCAGUCGACUCAUAAUCGAUCGGUCGCAGGUUCGAGUCCUGCCGGGCCCA